rnacentral:rRNA from 1 species
GACGAGGGGUCCUAGCGUUGUUCGGAAUCACUGGGCGUAAAGCGUUUGUAGGCGGCUCUAUAAGUCGGGUGUGAAAUCCCAUGGCUCAACCAUGGAAGUGCAUUCGAAACUGCAGAGCUUGAAUAUGGUAGAGGAGAGUAGAAUUCCUGGUGUAGUGGUGAAAUACGUAGAUAUCAGGAGGAAUACCGGUGGCGAAGGCGGCUCUCUGGACCAAUAUUGACGCUGAGAAACGAAAGUGCGGGGAUCAAACAGG